AUUGAACGCUGGCGGCAGGCCUAACACAUGCAAGUCGAGCGCGCGGCGGACGGGUGAGUAAUGUAUGGGGACUGCCCGAUAGAGGGGGAUAACUACUGGAAACGGUGGCUAAUACCGCAUACUAUCGGAUAACCCAUAUGGGAUUAGCUCGUAGGUGGGGUAAAGGCUCACCUAGGCGACGAUCUCUAGCUGGUCUGAGAGGAGGAUCAUCCCACCUGGGACGGAGACACGGCCCAGACUCCUACGGAGGCCGCAGUGGGGAAUAGUGCACAAUGGGCGCAAGCCGGAUGCAAUCAUGCCGCGUGUAUGAAGAAGGCCUUAGGGUUGUAAAGUACUUUCAGCGGGGAGGCGUUACCCGCAGAAGAAGCACCGGCUAACUCCGUGCCAGCAGCCGUGGUAAUAC
rnacentral:rRNA from 1 species